GCAGACCGCCUAGGCCUGAGACUGGAACGGCGCGGAGAUGGGGGCGGCGGCCGCGGAGGCCGACCGCACUCUGUUCGUGGGUAACCUGGAGACGAAGGUGACGGAGGAGCUCCUCUUCGAGCUGUUCCACCAGUAUUUGAGACAGAGAGACAGUCUCUAUAGCCUUGGUAGCCCUGGGACUCCGAGGCUGACUUUGAGCUGGUCCUCCUGCCUGCAUCCCUUGACAUCUGACAAUACAGGCUGGGCCAGUAAUAAAGGUGAAAAUCCCAAAAGAUAAAGAUGGCAAACUGAAGCAGUUUGCAUUUGUGAAUUUCAAACACGAAGUGUCUGUUCCCUACGCCAUGAAUCUUCUCAAUGGAAUCAAACUUUUCGGGAGGCCUAUCAAAAUUCAGUUUAGAUCAGG
rnacentral:lncRNA from 1 species